UACGAAGGGGGCUAGCGUUGCUCGGAAUCACUGGGCGUAAAGCGCACGUAGGCGGCCAACUAAGUCAGACGUGAAAUCCCUCGGCUUAACCGGGGAACUGCGUCUGAUACUGGAUGGCUUGAAUCCGGGAGAGGGAUGCGGAAUUCCAGGUGUAGCGGAUGAAAUGCGUAGAAUAUCUGGAGGAACACCGGUGGCGAAGGCGGCAUCCUGGACCGGCAAUUGA
rnacentral:rRNA from 1 species